UUUCAAUGAUACGGAAUCCUCUAGAUCGCACCAUAUUGCUUUUAAAAAAAAAAAUAUCUAGGAGUCAUCAUUUAAAAUGAACAUAUAUAGUGUUACAAUAUGUAGUAUAAAUUUAAUACACAAUUAUCAUGUUGAAUAGUGGUAUCGAUCUGGCAAAAAAAAAAGACAAAAAAAAACAAAUCUUUGUAUAUAUGUCAUGUUGAAAUGAGAUAAUUUUAUUUCUUGAUUUGCGAAAAAUAUCAAAAUCGUUUUCAACUUUCAGAGUUCCCACCACUCCCAGGUCCAUGGUUGGCUAGGCUUUGCUCAGCCUCUCUUUCUAUUUUC
rnacentral:lncRNA from 1 species